rnacentral:rRNA from 1 species
AGAGUUUGAUCCUGGCUCAGAACGAACGCUGGCGGCGCGUUUUAAGCAUGCAAGUCGAGCGGCAGGGGGGCUUCGGUCCCCCGAGAGCGGCGGACGGGUGAGUAACACGUGGACAACCUGCCCCCCGGUUCGGGAUAGCCCAGGGAAACCUGGAUCAAUACCGGAUGCGAGGGCGGCCGCACAAGCGGCCGUCGGGAAAGGCGCUUCGGCGCCGCCGGGGGAUGGGUCCGCGUCCCAUUAGCUAGACGGUGGGGUAACGGCCCACCGUGGCGAUGAUGGGUAGCCGGCCUGAGAGGGUGGACGGCCACAUUGGAACUGAGACACGGUCCAGACUCCUACGGGAGGCAGCAGCUAAGAAUCUUCCGCAAUGGGCGAAAGCCUGACGGAGCGACGCCGCGUGAACGAAGAAGGCCGUGAGGUUGUAAAGUUCUUUUCGGGAGGGGGAACGAGGCUGCCAGGCAAUGGGCGGCCGAUGACGUGAAUCCCGGAAUAAGCCCCGGCUAACUACGUGCCAGCAGCCGCGGUAACACGUAGGGGGCGAGCGUUGUUCGGAAUCAUUGGGCGUAAAGGGCGUGCAGGCGGCCGCCAAAGUCCGGCGUGAAAGACCCAGGCUCAACCUGGGGGGUGCGCCGGAUACUGGGCGGCUUGAGUACAGGAGGGGACGGCGGAAUUCCAGGUGUAGGGGUGAAAUCUGUAGAUAUCUGGAGGAACACCGAUGGCGAAGGCGGCCGUCUGGCCAUGUACUGACGCUGAGGCGCGAAGGUGCGGGGAGCAAACAGGUUUAGAUACCCUGGUAGUCCGCACAG